AAUAUAGUCAAAAUAAAUGAGUAACAACCCGCAAAUGAAUCAGAAAUGUUUACAAAUAAGUAUUUCUCACAGCUUAUACAAGCUAACAUUGCUAGGAUACAAGUUAUGUCAGUUUCAAACACAGCCGUUACUAAGCUACACUUCCGGUAGUUUAAAAAAACGUUAAUAACCGUUAAUUAACCGUUAAUAAAACGUUAAUGAAACGUUAAAAUUACCUUCGCUUGUUUCCUCUCAAAGGUACAGUGGGGUCACAUUUUCUGACGACAGCCGUCAGAAAUGGUGACCUCAUGUGUUGCUGGCUCUCUGCGGUCACAGAUUUUGGUGUAACACCUGAAUAACCUGUUAGGGAACCCGGUAGGGUGACCAGAUCCCAACAAACCAGAUUUGGGACAAAGAGUAUGUUUGUGUGGGACAAUGUGGGACACGUUACCAAGGCUGUAAGUUUUUGAAGGAAGAAAAGAAGGAAGUCCAAGUUGUUGGUGCCAAUUACCAGCAGAGAGUCAGUCACAAGAAAAGAAGCCACCGCUAAAGCAGGAAGAACGGAAAAAAAACAGCUGCCAGCAUAAACAACAAGGAUAUUAAGGACAUUAGAAGAAGAAGGAUAGAUGGAGACACCCGUCACACUCAUCCAAAGGAGAGAGGAUCUGAUGAGCAUUUGUUUUCUACUUCAGUGCGUACCCAAAUAAAGUUAAAUUUCACAUCUUACAUUUUCUCACUCAUAUUUUCUCUCAUAAUCUUGCUUUUUGAGAUAUUUUUGAAACAUACAACCUCAGGAGCAGCAACUUUUGGGAGAUAGGAAAUAAGCCUCAGGAACUACAAUUUUAUAUCAAUUUGUAAUCAGCUCCAGAGAGACACAAACUGUAAUACUUAGGUUUUGUAUGAUGUCCAUCAAGUGGAGCUCUUUAACGGAGAUUAGAUUUUUAUCCGGGUGUCUGAAUCACUUCCAUAUUCAAACCGCCAAGCAAAAUUAAAAUGGUACAAUGUGUGUAGGCAGUGCAUCUGUCCAUGUUUGUAGCCAGACUGAAGAAGUGUUUUCUUUUCAUUCACAUAAGAAUUUCCCCUAAAACCUUCUUCUCGACUCUGUAUAUACGUAUAUACUGUAUAUAGGGUUACAUUUAGGCUACUACUGUUAUACUGCUUAAUAGACAUUUAGAUUUAAAAAAACAACAAAGAACUAAGCUAAAUCCUUUGAGGUGUUGUUUUCAAACCAGCCAGAAGAGACAAA